rnacentral:rRNA from 1 species
UACGAAGGGGGCUAGCGUUGUUCGGAAUUACUGGGCGUAAAGCGCGCGCAGGCGGUCUUCCAAGUCAGUGGUGAAAGCCCGGAGCUCAACUCCGGAACUGCCAUUGAAACUGUGAGACUCGAGUACGAGAGAGGUGAGUGGAAUUCCCAGUGUAGAGGUGAAAUUCGUAGAUAUUGGGAAGAACACCGGUGGCGAAGGCGGCUCACUGGGACGGUACUGACGCUGAGACGCGAAAGCGUGGGGAGCGAACAGG